rnacentral:rRNA from 1 species
AAGAACGAGGUAGAUGAAGAGGUCUGGAAAGGCCCGCCAUAGGAGGUAACAGCCCUGUAGUCAAAACUUCGUUCUCUCCUGAGUGGAUCCUGAGUACGGCGGAACACGUGAAAUUCCGUCGGAAUCCGGGAGGACCAUCUCCCAAGGCUAAAUACUCCCUAGUGACCGAUAGUGAACCAGUACCGUGAGGGAAAGGUGAAAAGCACCCCGGAAGGGGAGUGAAAGAGAUCCUGAAACCGUGUGCCUACAAGUAGUCAGAGCCCGUUAACGGGUGAUGGCGUGCCUUUUGUAGAAUGAACCGGCGAGUUACGAUCCCGUGCAAGGUUAAGUUUGAAAAGACGGAGCCGCAGCGAAAGCGAGUCUGAAUAGGGCGCAUGAGUACGUGGUCGUAGACCCGAAACCAGGUGAUCUACCCAUGUCCAGGGUGAAGUUCAGGUAACACUGAAUGGAGGCCCGAACCCACGCACGUUGAAAAGUGCGGGGAUGAGGUGUGGGUAGGGGUGAAAUGCCAAUCGAACCUGGAGAUAGCUGGUUCUCUCCGAAAUAGCUUUAGGGCUAGCCUCAAGGUAAGAGUCUUGGAGGUAGAGCACUGAUUGGACUAGGGGCCCCUACCGGGUUACCGAAUUCAGUCAAACUCCGAAUGCCAAAGACUUAUCCUUGGGAGUCAGACUGCGAGUGAUAAGAUCCGUAGUCGAAAGGGAAACAGCCCAGACCGCCAGCUAAGGUCCCAAAGUAUACGUUAAGUGGAAAAGGAUGUGGAGUUGCUUAGACAACCAGGAUGUUGGCUUAGAAGCAGCCACCAUUUAAAGAGUGCGUAAUAGCUCACUGGUCGAGUGACUCUGCGCCGAAAAUGUACCGGGGCUAAACGUAUCACCGAAGCUGCGGACUGUUCUUGCGAACAGUGGUAGGAGAGCGUUCUAAGGGCUGUGAAGCGAGACCGGAAGGACUCGUGGAGCGCUUAGAAGUGAGAAUGCCGGUAUGAGUAGCGAAAGAGGGGUGAGAAUCCCCUCCACCGAAUGCCUAAGGUUUCCUGAGGAAGGCUCGUCCGCUCAGGGUUAGUCGGGACCUAAGCCGAGGCCGAAAGGCGUAGGCGAUGGACAACAGGUUGAUAUUCCUGUACCACCUCCU